rnacentral:rRNA from 1 species
GACAGAGGUGCCGAGCGUUAGGCGGAAUCACUGGGCUUAAAGCGUGUGUAGGCGGGUCGUUAAGUGUCUUGUGAAAUCCCACCACUCACCGGUGGAACGGCUGGGCAUACUGGCGACCUUGAGAGGCCUAGGGGCAGACGGAACAAGCGGUGGAGCGGUGAAAUGCGUAGAUAUCGCUUGGAACGCCGACGGCGAAAGCAGUCUGCUGGGGGCCUUCUGACGCUGAGACGACGAAAGCCAGGGGAGCGAACGGG